rfam:Enterococcus sp. 9D6_DIV0238 scaffold00002, whole genome shotgun sequence.
CCACAGCUACAACCGCACAGAACAAGUCUUAAGCAUGAGAUCCUCAUCACUUGGGAUGGCGAGUCUAAGUUUAGAA